rnacentral:rRNA from 1 species
AUACGUAGGGGGCGAGCGUUGUCCGGAAUUACUGGGCGUAAAGCGCGCGCAGGCGGAUGGGCAAGUCGGAAGUGAAAGCCCGGGGCUCAACCCCGGGACUGCUCCCGAUACUGCUUGUCUAGGGACCGGUAGAGGCUGGUGGAAUUGCUGGUGUAGCGGUGGAAUGCGUAGAUAUCAGCAAGAACACCCGUGGCGAAGGCGGCCAGCUGGGCCGGAUCCGACGCUGAGGCGCGAAAGCGUGGGGAGCAAACAGGAUGAGAUACCCGGGUAGUCCACGCCGUAAACGAUGGGUGCUAGAUGCCGGGGGGAGCGACCCCUUCGGUGUCGUAGCCAACGCGUUAAGCACCCCGCCUGGGGAGUACGGCCGCAAGGCUGAA